GCGGAGGUUGCCCAGCCAGGUUAAAGGCGCUGGGUUUAGGUCCCUGUUGUCGGCACAAUCUGUGCCUUCAGGGAAAUCUCGUAGGAGUUCGCGAGUUCAAAUCUCGCCCUCCGCACCA
rnacentral:tRNA from 1 species